UCAUGUACAACAAUGGCAGAAAUGAACUUCUUGUACUCUGCUAAAUGACUCCUUCACCAAAGAGGAUCACAAACUACCUAUACAUUUGCUACUCUAUUGGCGAUUGUCACAUUUUUAAAUUAUCGUAUACUGGGGUCUGUUCAACGAAAAUGACCCCAACACUUUUUCAACAUUUUAUUUCUACAAUUCUUUCAUUGAAUGAGCUGUGUAUGAAAAUAGUGUACCGGAGAAAAAAUGUCACAUAUCAGCACCAGUUUACCAGAAAGAGGAAAGGCUACGGUAUCCUGUAGCUGUCUUCUGAUCAUGUAUGGAUUUCAAGGUCAUUAUGAGUUGCUCGCGCUGAUCCUCCACUUCUGCAUAUUUAAGACUUAUGUUCAGGUACCGGUCACGAAUUUCUUGUAGUUCAGAUUCAAGCUGAGAUACUUUUUGCAUAUUAUCGUCUCUUCCUUUGGAUGACAAACUGAAGAUACAAAGAUGUGGAUUGAUUAGAUUACAAUAGUAAGUUGAUCAUACAUACUUUUAGUCGAUAAUGCAGAUAAGUAUUUCUGAAUCUACAGAAUAAAACAAGCACAUAGAGGAGAUUUCCUUGACCAAUAUAUAUACUUCUCAGAGGCGAAGCUACAAUUUUUGAGUUAUAAGUUGUAGAUUCUACAAAAGGUAGCUUAUUGGGUUCUGGAUAAACUAUUUAUACAUAUUAAUGGAUUUUAAACAAAAAUACAAGUCUGGGCCAAAGGUUAUUGGGUUCUGGUUAACACGUAAGCAGAACUGUAGCUCCGUCCAUGAUUUUCUUAUUCUAUCCUUAGAAAGGUAUCGUUAAGGAUUGUCAACUCAAGUGGUAGUUAAACCAGUUUCCAGUUGAUAAAGCCGAUUUGUCAGCUAUAAUUGGUUAACAGUUUUCGAAAGAAUGGUCAGACUAGAUGGAUUUUACCAGUAGCAGAGUAAGAUCAUAAGACAUAAACAUCAUGAGAAACACAAACAAAGCUCAGGAAACAAAACAAUUAUUUUUUAUAUUGGCUUACCUAAUUAGAUGGGAUUCAUCAUGGAUAUAAUUGCUGUCUAAAGUCUGAGCUACUGUAUCGCCCGGAAAUUGGUUCGCUGAUACACUUUUGGCAAGAGUCCCUUGAAAAUCUCUGUAGUAAUUGCUUUCUUUGUUUCCAUCCUAGAUAGAUAUGGGGGAAUGUCAUGAGGUUAAUAAAGAUAAGGAAAUUAUAUUAAUUUUAUUUUCCCUGAAAUGGAAGUAAUCAGUAAAUAUUACACACUGAGGAACACAAAGAAAUGAAGAUAGUUUUAGUACGACGUACCAGUUGAAAGUUGCCUUGAAUCUUCUGAACUUUCAAGUAUUUCUCUGAUUGAAGAGAUUGAGUAAUUAUCUCAUGCUGAUGCUUGCUGAAGUUCUCUUCCUCUACCUGUUUUUUCAGAAAACUAAACAAAAAUCAGAUUCAUCGCCUACUGUAUCAUUGAUUACAAGCUAUAUAUAAGAGAAGUGGCAUGGUUGACCUCUGAAAACUUCAGCUCAUCUAGAGUAGGAAUGGUAUCAUCAUCCUCUCUUUGGUUGUCUGGUCGUUUUUUCGACAAUUUUUCCUCGAGGGAUGUGACUUGCUUCAAGCAGUUCUCUUUCUCGAAUUGAAGGGAUUUUAUUUGCCACAGAAGUUGGCUAUUUGCUCUUCUAAGCUGGCAAAGCUCAUUUUUCAGCUCGGAAACUUUGGUACACAUUACUUCUUUUGCAGUUAAGUCUCCUUCCAGCCUCAGAACUUUCUCCUCUAGUGCAAUUGUCUUGUAUUUGCAUUUUUCUGCUUCCGCCACUUCCUUCUGCAUGCAGGUGAUUUCCUGAAGUAAUGAUGCCUUCUCUUCCUUCAACUCUUCACAAUCUCCAUAUUUCAACAACAGUGUAACUUGUGUUCUCUCACUUUCAAACUUCAUCCCAGAUAGUGCUUCUUUAAGAUACAAAACUUCCUCCUGAAGUAAUGGUAAUGUAUGCAGUUGAAUCUUUAGGCUAGAAUUCUCUUCAGUCAUUUGCAGCAUUUGACAUUCAGAAGACAGUAGUUUUGACUCAAGCUCAUUAAUGGUGCAUUUAAGCUUUGCUUCACUGGAUACAAGAUGUUCCAUCAUCCUCAGUAGCUUAUCACAAUUAGCUGCCAAAGUUCCCUCCUUGGCUUUGGAAGUACCAAGUUCACUCAUAAGAUCUGACAUCUCUACCAUCAGGGAUUGUACCUGUUCUUGCAACUUUUCGACUUCAACUGUGUUCUCCGGAGACAUUUCACGCAGAGUGCACCCUUCUACAAGAAAUUUUUCUCCAUGCUCUUUAGUCUGUAGGUGGAGAUCGUCAAGUUUGAACUUAAGGAUCUUCUCUUUUGAUUCAAUCUCUUCCAUCACUGAAGAAAAGUUAGCUUCUAAAGACUCUAUCCUUUUCAAACAGGUGGAGAAAGAAUGCUGAGAUUUCCUCAAUUCUGCUUCCAAAACAUUAUGGCUCACAUGUAAUUUUAAUUUUUGUUGCCUUAGUUCUGCAUUCAAGUUUUGAAGCAAACAACACUCUUCCAUAAGACUUUCUGUUGUUGCUUGGAGCUUUGGAUUUACUUUCUUCAGAUACUCGCACUCUUCUUGAGCAUCUAACCAUCGCUUUUGCAUCUCCAUCAACUGUUCUUUCAUAUCGAGCUUUUGUGACUCCUUUUGAUGUUCUAAUUUUCUAAUCUUGCUCUCAAGGCUCACAACACGAUUACCAGAAUGCUGCAGUUCCAAACGAUUGAAUUCCAUUGCAUCAGUCAAAUGCCUUAGUUGAGCUUCCAAUCCUGAUACUCGUUCUGACAGAUCUACAUUUUCUUUUUCUAAUUCAUGCAAAUUAAGUUCUAACUCAUACUUAUCACUCUCUAGCUCUAAUGAUUUCAUUUCGUACGUCAUUUUAGAGACUCCUCCACAAAUACAUUGAUCAAGAAACAUCAAACCAUUUGCGGAAGUGUCUAAAGAAUUGGAGGUGGCACUAAGUUCUUGUUGCAUGUUUUCUAUUCUCUCCUCCAUCAGACAUUUACUCAUCUGGAGAUCAGAGAUUUGAGUACUCAAAUCAGUCUGCUGAUGCCUUAGCGCUUCGAUCUUUACAUCCUUUUUCAAACAUUUUGUCUUCAGCUCCAGUAUCUCCGAGUUCUUAGCUAAACUAUCACUACUUAAAUUUUGAAUCUUGCCCUCUAGCACCUUAUUUAAAUCCUCAAGCCUUUCACAGCAAGAACAAGGAGUAUUUUCCUUUGGAAGGUCAUCCUUUUCCUCAUCUUGAACUUCACAUGCAUCCUUUAAUGUUGUUUUGGGUUCAUCCUCGAUAUGUUGACUACCAUCAAGAUAUAGAGCCAACCUGUACCUCAAUAACUGGAAAUUUUUCAACACUGC
rnacentral:lncRNA from 1 species